CCGUGGGCGGGGCGCGCCGCUAGUCUCCUGCGAGAGCCGCGGGGGCCGCGGACCUGGAGCCGGAGCUGAAGCGGGAGCCGGGCUGGAGUCGGGGCGGGGGCCGGGCCGGAGCGGGCUCCAGCGCCAUGGGGUCGUCCGACUCCAAGCUGAACUUCCGGAAGGCGGUGAUCCAGCUCACCACCAAGACGCAGCCUGUGGAAGCCACCGAUGAUGCCUUUUGGGACCAGUUCUGGGCAGACACAGCCACCUCGGUGCAGGAUGUGUUUGCACUGGUGCCAGCAGCAGAGAUCCGGGCCGUGCGGGAAGAGUCACCCUCCAACUUGGCCACCCUGUGCUACAAGCCUGGAUGCCCACCUGAUCCCAAGUGCCAGGGUCCUCUCCCCACCUUCCAGCCUGCCCUCUGCUCCUGCCUGCCCCCACAGGCCGUUGAGAAGCUGGUACAGGGAGCUGAGAGUGGCUGCCACUCGGAGAAGGAGAAGCAGAUUGUCCUGAACUGCAGCCGGCUGCUCACCCGCGUGCUGCCCUACAUCUUUGAGGAUCCUGACUGGAGGGGCUUCUUCUGGUCCACAGUGCCCGGGGCAGGGCGAGGAGGGCAGGGAGAAGAGGAUGAUGAGAAUGCCAGGCCCCUGGCCGAGUCCCUGCUCCUGGCCAUUGCUGACCUGCUCUUCUGCCCGGACUUCACAGUCCAGAGCCACCGGAGGAGCACUGUGGACUCGGCGGAGGACGUCCACUCCCUGGACAGCUGUGAAUACAUCUGGGAGGCUGGUGUGGGCUUCGCUCACUCCCCCCAGCCUAACUACAUCCAUGAUAUGAACCGGAUGGAGCUGCUGAAACUGCUGCUGACAUGCUUCUCCGAGGCCAUGUACCUGCCCCCAGCUCCGGAAAGUGGCAGCACCAACCCAUGGGUUCAGUUCUUUUGUUCCACGGAGAACAGACAUGCCCUGCCCCUCUUCACCUCCCUUCUGAACACCGUGUGUGCCUAUGACCCUGUGGGCUACGGGAUCCCCUACAACCACCUGCUCUUCUCUGACUACCGGGAGCCCCUGGUGGAGGAGGCUGCCCAGGUGCUCAUUGUCACCUUGGACCACGACAGCGCCAGCAGUGCCAGCCCCACUGUGGACGGCACCACCACUGGCACCGCCAUGGAUGAUGCCGAUCCUCCAGGCCCCGAGAACCUGUUUGUGAACUACUUGUCCCGCAUCCAUCGUGAGGAGGACUUCCAGUUCAUCCUCAAGGGUAUAGCCCGGCUGCUGUCCAACCCCCUGCUCCAGACCUACCUGCCCAACUCCACCAAGAAGAUCCAGUUCCACCAGGAGCUGCUAGUUCUCUUCUGGAAGCUCUGCGACUUCAACAAGAAAUUCCUCUUCUUCGUACUGAAGAGCAGUGACGUCCUAGACAUCCUUGUCCCCAUCCUCUUCUUCCUCAACGAUGCCCGGGCCGAUCAAUCUCGGGUGGGCCUGAUGCACAUUGGUGUCUUCAUCCUGCUGCUUCUGAGCGGGGAGCGGAACUUUGGGGUGCGGCUGAACAAGCCUUACUCAGUUCGCGUGCCCAUGGACAUCCCAGUCUUCACGGGGACCCACGCCGACCUGCUCAUUGUGGUGUUCCACAAAAUCAUCACCAGCGGGCACCAGCGGCUGCAGCCCCUCUUCGACUGCCUGCUCACCAUCGUGGUCAACGUGUCCCCCUACCUCAAGAGCCUGUCCAUGGUGACUGCCAACAAGUUGCUGCACCUGCUGGAGGCCUUCUCCACCACCUGGUUCCUCUUCUCUGCCGCCCAGAACCACCACCUGGUCUUCUUCCUCCUGGAGGUCUUCAACAACAUCAUCCAGUACCAGUUCGACGGCAACUCCAACCUGGUCUACGCCAUCAUCCGCAAGCGCAGCGUCUUCCAUCAGCUGGCCAACCUGCCCACGGACCCACCCACCAUUCACAAGGCCCUGCAGCGGCGCCGGCGGACACCCGAGCCCUUGUCUCGCACCGGCUCCCAGGAGGGCACCUCCAUGGAGGGCUCCCGCCCCGCCGCCCCUGCAGAGCCAGGCACCCUCAAGACCAGCCUGGUGGCUACUCCAGGCAUUGACAAGCUGACGGAGAAGUCCCAGGUGUCAGAGGAUGGCACCUUGCGGUCCCUGGAGCCUGAGCCCCAGCAGAGCUCAGAGGACGGCAGCCCGGCCAAGGGGGAGCCCAGCCAGGCAUGGAGGGAGCAGCGGCGACCAUCCAGUUCAUCAGCCAGUGGGCAGUGGAGCCCAACGCCGGAGUGGGUGAGGGACCCCAUGCCAGGCGAGCAGGGGCUGGGGUUUGGGCAGAUGGUACAGGGGCGGGAGCUGGGUUGGGGUUCCCUGGCCCAGGGAAGCUCAGUGAGGAUGGCAAUGAGUCCGAAUCGAAGGACCCUGGCGUAGCAGCCUGGCUCCGGCUCGGUCCUUCCGGCUGGUGACAUCCCACGUGUUCGGCCUCUCUGGCUCAGUUGCUUCCUUUGUCUCCACUGUUGCCAGAGUCCCCAGCAGGAUUAAGUCCCAGGCGCCCUCAGUGCUCUCUUCCUUAAUAAAUCACUCUUUCCGACUUCCUUCCCUGAAUCUCAUCCCCACGCCCUGUGUCUCCUGAGAUCACGCCAGUUGCACUGGAACAGGGAUAACUGCCGUUCCUGCCUGACCACGCUGUUGUGAGGGCUAAAGGCGACAGUCUCCCGAAAGGUCCUCUCCUGGAAGUCAAAGCUGCCGCUGCAGACCAUCAUGAGGCUGCUGCAGGUGCUGGUUCCGCAGGUGGAGAAGAUCUGCAUCGACAAGGGCCUGACGGAUGAGUCUGAGAUCCUACGGUUCCUGCAGCAUGGCACCCUGGUGGGGCUGCUGCCCGUGCCCCACCCCAUCCUCAUCCGCAAGUACCAGGCCAACUUGGGCACUGCCAUGUGGUUCCGCACCUACAUGUGGGGCGUCAUCUAUCUGAGGAAUGUGGACCCCCCUGUCUGGUACGACACUGAUGUGAAGCUGUUUGAGAUACAGCGGGUGUGAGGAUGAAGCCGACGAGGGACUCAGUCUAGGGGAAGGCAGGGCCCUGGUCCCUGAGGCUUCCCUGACCCACCAUUCUGAGCUUUAAAUUACCACGAUCAGGGCCUGGGACAGGCAGAGUGGCCUAGUCCUGAGUGUCAGGCCCCAGAGACCCCUGUGGCCAGGACAAUGUGGACCGACUCUGAUCUCCCUCAACCCCUAGGCUGGACUCACAGGAGCCUCAUCUCCGGGGCUAAGCCCCCACCAGAGACCACUGCCCCCAAUAGUCAGACUCCCCCUUUAAGACCUGGCUCAGUGCUGUCCCCUCAGUGCCCACCCACUCCUGUCCUGCCCAGUGCCAGAGGCAGAAGCCAUCAGGUCACUGUGCCCUAAGGGGUUUGACCAAGGAACCAUGGGCUGUCCCUUGAGGUGCCUGGGCAGGGUGAGGGGGUUAUUCCAGCCUCCUAACCCGAAGCCAGCUGUUCCAGGCUCCAGGGGAAAUAGGUGUGGCCAGGCUGCUCCUCGAGGAGGCUGGGAGCUGGCUGACUGCAAAAGCCAGGCUGGGGCACCUCCCGUAUACUUGGGCAUGGUGUGGGGUGGUGAGGGUCUCCCGCUGUAUUCUCCUGGUCCGUGGAAAUAGCCUGGCUCCCUCUUACUCAGUAAUGAGAGGUAGGGAAGGGAACCGGGGGGAGCCAUUUAGUCCUCCCUGCCCUGCCCACUGCCUGGAUGGGGCGAUGUCACCCCCUCAUCCUUCCCCCAGCUCUGGCCCCUGGGUCCCGCCCCCCAACCCCCUGUGUCAGAACAAUCUUUGCUCUGUACAAUCGGCCUCUUUACAAUAAAACCUCCUGCUCCACA